rnacentral:misc_RNA from 1 species
GAAAUGCGAUAAGUAAUGGGAAUUGCAGAAUUCCGUGAAUCAUCGAAUCUUUGAACGCACAUUGCGCCCUCUGGCAUUCCGGGGGGCAUGCCUGUCCGAGCGUCAUUACGCACCCUCAAGCCCGGCUUGUGUGAUGGGCCCCGGCGUCUCGUUCGCGAGACGGGCCCGAAAGGCAGCGGCGGCGUCGACCCGAUGAACCCGAGCGUAUGGGGACUUCUGUCACACGUUCGCGGUGCGGACCGGCGCCUGCUUGACUUUUCUGAUUAUCCAGGUUGACCUCGGAUCAGGUAGGGAUACCCGCUGAACUUAAGC